AUUGAACGCUGGCGGCAUGCUUUACACAUGCAAGUCGAACGGUAACAGGCCGCAAGUUGCUGACGAGUGGCGCACGGGUGCGUAAUGCAUCGGAACGUGCCCAGUCGUGGGGUAUAACUACUCGAAAGAGUAGCUAAUACCCCAUACGAUCUAUGGUUGAAAGCGGGGGACCGUAAUGCCUCGCGCGAUUUUACCUGCCUAUGUCAGAUUAGGUAGUUGGUGGGGUAAAGGCUCACCAAGCCAACGAUCUGUAGCUGGUCUGAGAGGACGACCAGCCACACUGGGACUGAGACACGGCCCAGACUCCUACGGGAGGCAGCAGUGGGGAAUUUUGGACAAUGGGCGCAAGCCUGAUCCAGCAAUGCCGCGUGCAGGAAGAAGGCCUUCGGGUUGUAAACUGCUUUUGUACGGAACGAAACGGCUCUGGUUAAUACCCGGGGCUAAUGACGGUACCGGAAGAAUAAGCACCGGCUAACUACGUG
rnacentral:rRNA from 1 species